GAAUAAUUAGAAAAAACAAACCCUGCCUAAUUAAUCAUUUUGCAGCCCAAAAUGCAAGUAAGUCAACAUGCAUGCUUCCACAAUAUAUAUAUUAUCAACACAAUCAAUAAGAUAUAAAUAUAUAAUAAAUUAAGAGAUGAAUAUAUAUGUGCAAACAAGAAACACUAUACUCAUAUCUCUAUCUCUUUCAAUCAACAGAAUAGCCUUGCUGUCCACUUCACAAACCAAUCAAAUACAAGAAGAAAACAAAAUCAAAACAAAAACCAAGAAAACAAAUUUAGAAAGAGAAAAAAAAGAGAAACAGAAGGGGAGGGAGAGAGAGAUCGAGGGACAAAGAAGAAAGGGAAGCAGAAGGGAAAUAAUACUGGACGCUCCUCUCCUCUCCUUCCCAUUCUUCUCCUCCUCGUCGCCGUCGUCGUCGC
rnacentral:lncRNA from 1 species